AUCCUAUUUUUCAGGUGGAUCCAACACUAUAUAAUGAUAAUAACACUAGACUUUAUAUACAUUUCCAGGCUGGUAAUACGCAUUGCUUCAAUACACUUUGCCCUGGAUUUAUCUUGGUAAAUACUGGGUUACCUGUUGAUAUGGUAUUUGAUGAGGUUAAUCAUCGUGGAUAUAAAAGCAUAGUGGAGAUCCAAAUGUACAUUGAUCGGGAUGUAGUCGGAAACUGGUGGCUUUUGAUCGGCGAAAGCUAUGAACAAGUUGGUUUUUGGUCUCAUAGGAUUUUCACCGACUUGGCAAGCUUCGCUAAUCACGUUGACUUGGGAGGAGUCGCGUAUAGUCCACCAGGUUUGCUUAAACCUCCGAUGGGCAGGAGCGGACGCACGUUACACCCAGGGUUGUCAUCCAACAUCCCUUGGUCGGGAAAAUUUACGUUGUAUAUAUAGAGAGAGAGAAUAUGUUAAAACAAAAUAGAGUACAAGUAAUUUAAAAUGAUUUCAAUUGACAAAUAAAACUUCUUGGCUCGAUGGCGAAGCGCGUCUUGUGGCUCCUAUACGUCAUAUGUUCGAAUCCUCGCAGCACCGGAUGUCAUCUGUUUUUGAGUUUCUAUCAGUGCCUCUCCCUUUGUCUUCUAAACAAUUAUGUUUUAAGGGUUGAUCCUAAACCGGUAACCGGAUCGGUUAAAUCGGAACCAGUAGAAUCGGUUAACCGGUUCCGGUUAACCAUUUAAAAAUUUACCGGUCCGGUUCCGAUAUUUUUGAAACCGGUGAAAUUAAAAAAAAAAAAAAAAAAACGUUGGG